AGGGAGGGGGGGGACGUUCGCAGCGGAGCUGCUGCGGGUCUCCCUUCUCUCCUA
rnacentral:ncRNA from 2 species